AGCCUGUGAUGAACUACUCUAAAUUCUGACACCUCGUAUGAGAACUGCAUAUGCAGUCUGAUUAUAUUUCGAGACUGAGGCUU
ensembl:snoRNA